rnacentral:lncRNA from 1 species
AUGUUAUUGGGUCCCGUCUAAAUCUGCCGUUCAAUAUGGUGUUGAAAUCUAGGCCAAAAAACUAUUUGUGUAAAUUGCACAAUUGAUCCUCAAACUUUAAUUUGCUAUAAUUUCUGAAUCAAAUUUUAAAAAUUAUUGCAAUUAAAUCUCACAAUAUAAUUUAGUUGAUUAAAUGUUGACACAUCGUUGAUGUGAAAGAGAUAUAACACUUUAAUUAUUGACGCAUUAUCAAACACAAUAUUAUUGUAUUACUUUUAUAUUAGCAAUAUAUAAAUAUUUAGUCUGCUUAUUGGGUUAUAAAAUUUGAUUGCAAUAAUUAUAAAAAUUCGAGCCAAAAAUUAUAGUAAAUUAAUGUUUAAGGACCAAAAUGUCGCCCGACACAUAGCUUGAAGACCGUACAUGCAAUUUACCUAAACAGGGCCGUUUAGUUUAAUGUAAUUAUAAAUUCAGUGAAGUUAAAAAAGAUGCAUCCGGUUGAAAAUAAAGCAAUUAUAAUUACAUACAUCUUUUUGAUUGGAUAUAGCAAAAGGCGCUGUAGUUAUAUAUAUUUUAUUUAGUUGCAAGGGGUUGAAAAAUGUAUUUACGAAUUUUUAUCAUUUUAUAUAUAGAAUGAUGAGAUUACCUCUAUGUAGGGGAAAAAAUAUAUAUAUAUUUAAAAGGUUAUUAGGGAGGUAAGUUUAUUUUUGUUUAAAUUACUCUCUCCAAAUACUGGAGUUGGAACUGCGCCUAUUUUAGACAUAAUUUCAACUGCUCUAGUUGAGCCUUUUCGUACAGUCACAGCUAUAACAGUUGAAUUUAAAUGCAUCAAAAUAACUGAUGGAUUUGGAUCUACACGUAGUUAUAACUGUAAUGCAAUUGUAAUUAUAUACAAUCCAACAACCCUUAAGAUUAGACAACAUAUAAAUUAUACUAGUGUAGUAACCAGCGCGAUGCCGCGGAUAAAUAAUAGAAGAAAAUUUAAAAAAUAUUAAAGAGUAAGAAGAAAGAAGUUUGGAAAAUAAAAAUUCAAAUGUGUUUUAUUUUUUGGGUAGGGAAACGUAUGAAUUAAACUAAUCAAUAUGGUCAUUGAAAAUCGAUAACCGCCCAGAAUCAACAUUCAAAAAAAAAAAAUCUACAAAGGUCCAAUGAAGAUGGAGAUAAUAAUGUUGCGAUGAUGACGACGAUGGCGAUGAAAAUCUGAUGAAAAUUUGCAGAAUUUUGCACUCUUUUGGGCAUUGAAUGAUCAAAAUUUGCAGGCCAAAACUGCCACAUCAAUUAUGAAAUAAAAAAUAACCUCUAAAUUAAUCAAAAUAAUACAUAUAAAUCAAAUCCUUGAUUGAUACAAUCACCAUAUCAAAUAUAAUGCAAAUAAAUUAAAUUCUAAAUGAAUACGUAGUAAGAAUUCGAGAUUAAAAUAAAGAAAAGAAAAAUUAGGUUUAGGAUUUUAGUUUUCCAAACCUACCCCUCGAACCGUCCAUUAUUGCUCUCCAAUUAGCUUCCUCUAUUGAAAAAAUCAUUCGAUUACCUUCUUUUUUCAUAAAUCUGAAGAGAUCGAUAUUGAUAGAAACCCUAUAAACACUCUUUUGAUUCGGAGGGGAGGUUUGGGUCGAGUCGGAUUGGCACGAAUUAGGGCUUGGAAGACCCCCUUACUUUUCCCCAAUCUUUAGAUCUGAAAGUAGUAACUAUUUAUCUUCUCUUUUUUUAAUUUUGUAUGUUAGGAAUUGUUUGUGGGAAAAGAAAGGACUAAUUUUGAAGAGAAAACGUAUAAAUUAAAAAGCACAUUGAUUACAUGUCAUUGAAUAGAGAGGAGGGGAGUGGAAAAGGCAAGAGUAAAAAUCAAUUCAAAAAAAAAGUUAGUGAGGGUGGAGAAAAACUUGCCACGUGGCAAAAUUAUUAGAAAUUCAUAUAGAGUAAUAUAUGACUGACCAAAUUAUCUAAAUGAAGAAAAAG